GGCCGAUAAGAGCAAACUAUCUGAAAGGAUAGGACGCAAAGCCACUGGUCCACACGGCUCCUCCGGGAGACGAAGGAUAGCAGGGUUGCCGAA
rnacentral:ncRNA from 1 species